GGCAGGGUCUCGGUGUCUCCGGGUGCAAGUAGGCUGACCAGGUGAGCCGGGGCAUCCCGGAUCGGACUGCGAGCCGAGCCUGGGAACCUUGAGCUCCAGAGGGCAGCAGGGCAGUAGCGAGGACGUCCGUGACUGAGUUCUUUUUUCCUGCAAGCUCAUCCUGCUGCUCAGAGGUGCUACCUUCACUGAGGGAAUCUUCAUCCCCUUCAUCUACAUCAUCUUCCUCUUCAGCCCCACUUCCCUGGAGGAAAAGGAGGUAAGUGGCAUCGAAGUUCAGGACAAAUCAGUUACUGGGCUGUAAAACCAUCUUCUACUGGCCAGAGAACUAAAUCAGAGAGACUUGCAGGUAUACUUCCUGUGCCUUACUGUAAAAUAGUGGUCACUUGGCUUCUAGACAUGACAGACGCAUCACAGAUCUCAUACCUGAGGACAGAGUGGAAACUAAAAAAGAAAACAAGCCUAACUCCUUUGCCACAAAUCAUUGACGCAGCACUGCCACAGGGAACAAGCUUUCUAUUAUCCAGAGAAGUGAUUAUGCAACUGAGUAAAGACAAACAAUAGUAGAUGGCAGAGGAAUCUACU